rnacentral:rRNA from 1 species
GAUGAACGCUGGCGGUCUGCUUAACACAUGCAAGUCGAACGCAACCUUCGGGUUGAGUGGCGGACGGGUGAGUAACGCGUGAGAAUCUGCCUUGGGGUCGGGGACAACCACUGGAAACGGUGGCUAAUACCGGAUAAGCCUUAGGGUAAAAGAUUUAUUGCCCCAAGAGGAGCUCGCGUCUGAUUAGCUAGUUGGUGAGGUAAAAGCUCACCAAGGCAGCGAUCAGUARCUGGUCUGAGAGGMCGAUCAGCCACACUGGGACUGAGACACGGCCCAGACUCSUACGGGAGGCAAGCARUUGGGGAAUUUUCCGCAAUGGGCGAAAGCCUGACGGAGCAAGACCGCGUGAGGGRAGGAAGGCUCUUGGGUUGUAAACCUCUUUUCUCAGGGAAGAAGCUCUGACGGUACCUGAGGAAUCAGCCUCGGCUAACUCCGUGCCAGCAGSCGCGGUAAUACGGAGGAGGCAAGCGUUAUCCGGAAUUAUUGGGCGUAAAGCGUCCGCAGGUGGCGAUUCAAGUCUGCUGUCAAAGCACGGGGCUUAACUCCGUUAAGGCAGUGGAAACUGAAUAGCUAGAGUGCCGUAGGGGUAGAGGGAAUUCCCGGUGUAGCGGUGAAAUGCGUAGAGAUCGGGAAGAACAUCGGUGGCGAAAGCGCUCUACUGGACGGCAACUGACACUCAGGGACGAAAGCUAGGGGAGCGAAUGGGAUUAGAUACCCCAGUAGUCCUAGCUGGUAAACGAUGGAUACUAGGUGUAGCUUGUAUCGACCCGAGCUGUGCCGAAGCUA